rnacentral:lncRNA from 1 species
ACAUAAAUAAUUUUGAGACACGGGGGAAAAAAAACUUUUUUAUAAGUUAAAUGGUUCGUCCCUUACAAACUCAAAAAGAUAAAGAAGUACACAAUCUAAAACGAAGAAAGUAUAAAAACAAACAUAUGCAUAGUUUUAGAACUGUCAUAUAUCUGUUUGCAUGUUUAAACCGUCAACAAGUGAACUCUUUCUAUCUGUCUUUUCGUCUGAAAAAUGCCCGCCACAGAACAAAUUAAUUCCAUUGACGUUUAUGACGUUGUAUAAUAAUUACGUCUAUGACGUUCUCACGAAAAAACAACUUUUGUUAGGGCCGAUUCUUGGCACUCAAAGGGAGUAAUCACAAAUAUUCCUGGC